UGUCAAGUUGAUUACUGCUUACAGUCUUCCCGACUUCCCGGGACCUGUAACAUUUGGGGGCUCGUCGUCCGGGAUCAGCGUUACUCUGAAGACGCCUGGUCCAGUGAUUUUGAACCUAGGGACAGCAAAGCACAUUCUUCAGGAAGGGAGCAACGUGUGUGUGAGAGGAUAAGGGGAGCAGGUGACCAGCAUCAUCCUGACCAGGCGCAUCACCACAUAACCAGAUCUACCUGGAAGUGCAUCAUGUCCGACGAAGAAAGAAAGAGACUUGUCUGGAACAUCAAGAAGAAAGUCUACACUUUGAACACAGUUGAGAGAGUAGAGUUACCAUGACGACUGCAGCGCAUCCUCAGACAACAAAGAGGACCAUUAAGGAAACAACUAACUCUUGUCUCUCUCUCUCAUUUAAUGUCAAGGUUAGUUAAAUUAAUUACAUUUCAUUGUAAUUUACAUGUUUUAAUGUCCAAAUAAUUUGUUUCAAUUGAUUAUUUAUUUUAUUAAUAAUUUUAAGACACUUACAGUAUGUCAUAGAAAAGUUUACUCAUGUAACAUUAUCACUUACCUGAAAUAAGUUACUCACUUGAGUUGUUUACUUAAGAUACUUAACAUUACCUGAAUUCAGGCCAGUUGUAAGAAUUAGGGCUGUACAUUUGGUUAAGGUUGUUAUCAUUUAUUUAUUUAUUUAUUUAUUUAUUUAUUGUUUAUUUGAUCUAUACAGUGUGUAUUAUUUUGUACCAACAUGUUUAUGAUAAUUUUGUGAUUCAAAGUGUCUUACUGACUCUGAAAUGCAAACGUGUAUGUGUAUUAAAAGACAACAAAGAGGACCAUUAAGGAAACAACUAACUCUUGUCUCUCUCUCUCAUUUAAUUGUCUAAGUUAGUAUUACUUGUCUUACCUAGUCUUCCCCGUACCUCGCCCGGGACCCGUGGAUUAUUUAUUUUAUUAAUAAUUUUAAGACACUUACAGUAUGUCAUAGAAAAGUUUACUCAUGUAACACUAUCACUUACCUGAAAUAAGUUACUCACUUGAGUUGUUUACUUAAGAUACUUAACAUUACCUGAAUUCAGGCCAGUUGUAAGAAUUAGGGCAUUCCUGUACAUUUGGUUAAGGUUGUUAUCAUUUAUUUAUUUAUUUAUUUAUUUAUUUAUUGUUUAUUUGAUCUAUACAGUGUGUAUUAUUUUGUACCAACAUGUUUAUGAAUCAUUUUGUGAUUCAAAGUGUCUUACUGACUCUGAAAUGCAAAUUUGUAUGUGUAUUAAAAGACAACAAAGAGGACCGUUAAGGAAACAACUAACUCUUGUCUCUCUCUCUCAUUUAAUGUCAAGUUGAUUACUGCUUACAGUCUUCCCGACUGCCCGGGACCUGUAACAUCAUUUCUAAAUGAAGUAUAGCAUUAUUUACAAACCAGUUAUUUAGGAGUUGCCAGUGAUUCAUAAGAUCACAAGAAAUUGUAAGUAAAUGUAGUAAAUUCAGGUAGUUAUAAAGCAUUUAGUAGUGGUCAGUUAACUAUUUAUGUGAGCUCAUCUAAAGUGAGGACUAGUUAUGCCUUGUCGCAUCACCACAUAACCA
rnacentral:lncRNA from 1 species